ACAGGGAUUGCCUCAGUAACGGCGAGUGAAGCGGCAACAGCUCAAAUUUGAAAGCUGGCCUUUGGCCCGUGUUGUAAUUCGUAGAGGAUGCUUCGGGUGCGGCGCUGGUUUAAGUUCCCUGGAACGGGACGUCAUAGAGGGUGAGAAUCCCGUAUAUGGCCGGCCGCCUGUGCUCAUGUGAAGCUCCUUCGACGAGUCGAGUUGUUUGGGAAUGCAGCUCUAAAUGGGUGGUGUACUUCAUCUAAAGCUAAAUAUUGGCCAAAGACCGAUAGCGCACAAGUAGAGUGAUCGAAAGAUGAAAAGCACUUUGGAAAGAGAGUUAAACAGUACGUGAAAUUGUUGAAAGGGAAGCGCUUGCAAUCAGACUUGCGCCCGGUCGAUCAUCCGAACUUCUGUCCGGUGCACUCGAUCGGGCUCAGGCCAGCAUCGGUUUGGGCGGCUGGAUAAAGGCCUUGGGAAUGUGGCCCCUCUCGGGGGGUGUUAUAGCCCUCGGUGCAAUGCAGCCCGCCUGGACCGAGGACCGCGCUUCGGCUAGGAUGCUGGCGUAAUGGUUGUAAGCGACCCGU
rnacentral:rRNA from 1 species